rnacentral:rRNA from 1 species
GUACCGUGAGGGAAAGGUGAAAAGUACCCCGGAAGGGGAGUGAAAGAGAACUUGAAACCGUGUGCUUACAAGUAGUCAGAGCCCGUUAAUGGGUGAUGGCGUGCCUUUUGUAGAAUGAACCGGCGAGUUACGAUCUGAUGCAAGGUUAAGCAGAAAAUGUGGAGCCGUAGCGAAAGCGAGUCUGAAUAGGGCGAAUGAGUAUUUGGUCGUAGACCCGAAACCAGGUGAUCUACCCUUGGUCAGGUUGAAGUUCAGGUAACACUGAAUGGAGGACCGAACCGACUUACGUUGAAAAGUGAGCGGAUGAACUGAGGGUAGCGGAGAAAUUCCAAUCGAACUUGGAGAUAGCUGGUUCUCUCCGAAAUAGCUUUAGGGCUAGCCUCAAGUGAUGAUUAUUGGAGGUAGAGCACUGUUUGGACGAGGGGCCCCUCUCGGGUUACCGAAUUCAGACAAACUCCGAAUGCCAAAUAAUUUAACUUGGGAGUCAGAAUGUGGGUGAUAAGGUCCAUAUUCGAAAGGGAAACAGCCCAGACCACCAGCUAAGGUCCCAAAAUAUAUGUUAAGUGGAAAAGGAUGUGGCGUUGCCCAGACAACUAGGAUGUUGGCUUAGAAGCAGCCAUCAUUUAAAGAGUGCGUAAUAGCUCACUAGUCGAGUGACACUGCGCCGAAAAUGUACCGGGGCUAAACAUAU